UACAGAGACUGCAAGCGUUAUUCGGAUUCACUGGGCGUAAAGGGUGCGCAGGCGGCCGUGUGUGUCAGGUGUGAAAGCCCGGAGCUUAACUCCGGAAUUGCGCCUGAAACUACAUGGCUAGAGCAUUGGAGAGGGUAGCGGAAUUCACGGUGUAGCAGUGAAAUGCGUAGAUAUCGUGAGGAACACCAGAGGCGAAGGCGGCUACCUGGACAAUUGCUGACGCUCAUGCACGAAAGCGUGGGGAGCAAACAGG
rnacentral:rRNA from 1 species